rnacentral:rRNA from 1 species
GUAGUCUUGGCCAUAAACGAUGAUCACUAGGUGUCGGGGGUCUCCUCGGUGCCGCAGCUAACGCAUUAAGUGAUCCACCUGGGGACUACGGCCGCAAGGUUGAAACUCAAAGGAAUUGGCGGGGGCCCGCACAAGCGGUGGAGCAUGUGGCUUAAUUCGAUGCAACGCGAAGAACCUUACCCAGGCUUGACAUGUAUCUGCAAGCUCCCGAAACGGAGUCGCCUUCGAGGGUGAUACACAGGUGGUGCAUGGCUGUCGUCAGCUCGUGUUGUGAAAUGUUGGGUUAAGUCCCGCAACGAGCGCAACCCUCAUGUUCUGUUACCAGCGGGUAAAGCCGGGGACUCGGGACAAACUGCCUCUGUAAAGAGGA